AGAGUGGGUCGGGCGGUCGCCGGUUUGAAAGAGCCGGAGGAAAGUCCGAGCAGGACAGGGCACGGUGGUGGUUAACGGCCACCCGGGGCAACUCGCGGGAAAGUGCCACAGAAAAUACACAGCCGAUGGCCCCGAUUCGUCGGGAAACAGGCAAUGGUGAAAUGGUGCGGUAAGAGCGCACCGCGGCGCCGGUGACGGUGCCGGCAGGGUAAACCCCACCGCCUGCAAGACCAAGCAGCCGGUAUUCGGCCCGGAUAUUAACGGCAGGUAGGUCGCAUCCCGGAUAUCGGGAGAGCCAGCUGGCAACAGUUGGUCAAGAUUAAUGGCCGCCGCCCGUCAGAAGUGACGGCGCACAGAACUCGGCUUACAGACCCGCUCUUAUU
rnacentral:RNase_P_RNA from 1 species